rnacentral:lncRNA from 1 species
GUCAAUAGGCAAAAGCUCAUAAUGUUGUCAGUGUUUUCUCUUUUCCUUUCAGAAUUCUCUGAACAAGAAUUACCAAGAAAAAGUUGCACUUCGAAAGGCCAGUACCCUUAACACAAACCAUUAUAAUAGUUCUCAUCACAAGAAUUACUAACUUUACCUGUCAAUUUGCAAACAGCCCAUCGUUUAUUCCGGUUGUAUUAGUUUGGUAACAAAUAAAUAUAAGGAUUGAUUAUUUUAUCAGUGACCAUAAUACUACUGGUAAUACGAUUAUCAACUGGCAAGCAUAUGCAUAUCAGAAAUACCAACCUUCAGGUGUGGUUCAGGACUCCAGCUGAACUUUUUUUGUCAUGCUAGUUUAUAGAUAUAUAGUACCAAUACACGCAUUUGUGUCUCAGUUAAUUAGCAUCAUUCAUUUGGAAUGGGCACCGUAGGAUACUACGUACUCCCUCCGUUCCAAAUUAUAGGUCAUCUUAGUUUGUUCUAAGUCAAACUUAUCUAACUUUGACUAAGUUUAUAGAAAAAUAUAUAAACACUUACAAUAUCAAAAAAAAAAGACACUAUCAAGAUGUAUUUCAUGGUCACUAGUUUGGCAUUGUAGAUAUUUGUGUAUUUUCCUAUAAAUUUGGUCAAAGCUAGAUAAGUUUGACUUAGAGCAAAGCUGAAGCGAUUUAUAAU